GCAGUCGAGCGGUAGCACAGAGAGCUUGCUCUCGGGUGACGAGCGGCGGACGGGUGAGUAAUGUCUGGGAAACUGCCUGAUGGAGGGGGAUAACUACUGGAAACGGUAGCUAAUACCGCAUAAUGUCGCAAGACCAAAGUGGGGGACCUUCGGGCCUCAUGCCAUCAGAUGUGCCCAGAUGGGAUUAGCUAGUAGGUGGGGUAACGGCUCACCUAGGCGACGAUCCCUAGCUGGUCUGAGAGGAUGACCAGCCACACUGGAACUGAGACACGGUCCAGACUCCUACGGGAGGCAGCAGUGGGGAAUAUUGCACAAUGGGCGCAAGCCUGAUGCAGCCAUGCCGCGUGUAUGAAGAAGGCCUUCGGGUUGUAAAGUACUUUCAGCGGGGAGGAAGGCGAUAAGGUUAAUAACCUUGUCGAUUGACGUUACCCGCAGAAGAAGCACCGGCUAACUCCGUGCCAGCAGCCGCGGUAAUACGGAGGGUGCAAGCGUUAAUCGGAAUUACUGGGCGUAAAGCGCACGCAGGCGGUCUGUCAAGUCGGAUGUGAAAUCCCCGGGCUCAACCUGGGAACUGCAUUCGAAACUGGCAGGCUAGAGUCUUGUAGAGGGGGGUAGAAUUCCAGGUGUAGCGGUGAAAUGCGUAGAGAUCUGGAGGAAUACCGGUGGCGAAGGCGGCCCCCUGGACAAAGACUGACGCUCAGGUGCGAAAGCGUGGGGAGCAAACAGGAUUAGAUACCCUGGUAGUCCACGCCGUAAACGAUGUCGAUUUGGAGGUUGUGCCCUUGAGGCGUGGCUUCCGGAGCUAACGCGUUAAAUCGACCGCCUGGGGAGUACGGCCGCAAGGUUAAAACUCAAAUGAAUUGACGGGGGCCCGCACAAGCGGUGGAGCAUGUGGUUUAAUUCGAUGCAACGCGAAGAACCUUACCUGGUCUUGACAUCCACAGAACUUAGCAGAGAUGCUUUGGUGCCUUCGGGAACUGUGAGACAGGUGCUGCAUGGCUGUCGUCAGCUCGUGUUGUGAAAUGUUGGGUUAAGUCCCGCAACGAGCGCAACCCUUAUCCUUUGUUGCCAGCGGUUCGGCCGGGAACUCAAAGGAGACUGCCAGUGAUAAACUGGAGGAAGGUGGGGAUGACGUCAAGUCAUCAUGGCCCUUACGACCAGGGCUACACACGUGCUACAAUGGCAUAUACAAAGAGAAGCGACCUCGCGAGAGCAAGCGGACCUCAUAAAGUAUGUCGUAGUCCGGAUUGGAGUCUGCAACUCGACUCCAUGAAGUCGGAAUCGCUAGUAAUCGUAGAUCAGAAUGCUACGGUGAAUACGUUCCCGGGCCUUGUACACACCGCCCGUCACACCAUGGGAGUGGGUUGCAAAAGAAGUAGGUAGCUUAACCUUCGGGAGGGCGCU
rnacentral:rRNA from 1 species